GACGAACGCUGGCGGCGUGCUUAACACAUGCAAGUCAAGGGGGCGGAGCAAUCCGCAACCGGCGAACGGGUGCGUAACACGUGAGCAACCUGCCCACUUCUGGGGAUAGCCGGCCCAACGGCCGGUAAUACCGCAUACGUCACCUCGGGGGCGAUCUCCGGGGUUGGGAAAGCAGUGAUGCGGAGGUGGAGGGGCUCGCGGCCUAUCAGCUAGUUGGUGCGGUCACGGCGCACCAAGGCGACGACGGGUAGCUGGUCUGAGAGGAUGGCCAGCCACAUUGGGACUGAGAGACGGCCCAGACUCCUACGGGGAGGCAGCAGUGGGGAAUCUUGCGCAAUGGCCGAAAGGCUGACGCAGCGACGCCGCGUGUGGGAGGACGCCUCGGGUC
rnacentral:rRNA from 1 species